UACGUAGGAGGCAAGCGUUGUCCGGAGUUACUGGGCGUAAAGGGCCCGCAGGCGGUGGAGUAAGUUUGGAGUGACAGUUCCCAGCUUAACCGGGAAAGGACUUCGAAAACUGCUCGACUUGAGGACUGGAGAGGAAGGCGGAAUUCCGGGUGGAGCGGUGAAAUGCGUAGGGAUCCGGAGGAACACCGACGGCGAAGGCAGCCUUCUGGAAAGUACCUGACGCUGAGGGGCGAAAGCUAGGGGAGCGAACGGG
rnacentral:rRNA from 1 species